rnacentral:rRNA from 1 species
AGCGCUCGCAGGCGGUCUUUUAAGUCUGAUGUGAAAUCUUGCGGCUUAACCGUGAGCGGUCAUUGGAAACUGAAGGACUUGAGUACAGAAGAGGAGAGUGGAAUUCCACGUGUAGCGGUGAAAUGCGUAGAGAUGUGGAGGAACACCAGUGGCGAAGGCGACUCUCUGGUCUGUAACUGACGCUGAGGAGCGAAAGCGUGGGGAGCGAACAGGAUUAGAUACCCUGGUAGUCCACGCCGUAAACGAUGAGUGCUAGGUGUUAGGGGGGUUCCGCCCCUUAGUGCUGAAGUUAACGCAUUAAGCACUCCGCCUGGGGAGUACGGCCGCAAGGCUGAAACUCAAAAGAAUUGACGGGGGCCCGCACAUGCGGUGGAGCAUGUGGUUUAAUUCGAAGCAACGCGAAGAACCUUACCAGGUCUUGACAUCCUCUGCAAUCGGUAGAGAUACCGAGUUCCCUUCGGGGACAGAGUGACAGGUGGUGCAUGGUUGUCGUCAGCUCGUGUCGUGAGAUGUUGGGUUAAGUCCCGUAACGAGCGCAACCCUUGAGAUUAGUUGCCAGCAUUAAGUUGGGCACUCUAAUCUGACUGCCGGUGACAAACCGGAGGAAGGUGGGGAUGACGUCAAAUCAUCAUGCCCCUUAUGACCUGGGCUACACACGUGCUACAAUGGAUGGAACAAAGGGCAGCGAAGCGGCAACGCUUUAGCAAAUCCCAUAAAACCAUUCUCAGUUCGGAUUGCAGGCUGCAACUCGCCUGCAUGAAGCCGGAAUCGC